UCCUGCAGUCGAGCGGCAGCGCGGGGCAACCUGGCGGCGAGCGGCGAACGGGUGAGUAAUGCAUCGGAACAUGUCCAUUCGUGGGGGAUAGCCCGGCGAAAGCCGGAUUAAUACCGCAUACGCCCGAGAGGGGAAAGUGGGGGACCGCAAGGCCUCACGCGAUUGGGUUGGCCGAUGUCCGAUUAGCUAGUUGGUGGGGUAAAGGCCUACCAAGGCGAUGAUCGGUAGCUGGUCUGAGAGGAUGAUCAGCCACACUGGGACUGAGACACGGCCCAGACUCCUACGGGAGGCAGCAGUGGGGAAUUUUGGACAAUGGGGGCAACCCUGAUCCAGCCAUUCCGCGUGAGUGAAGAAGGCCUUCGGGUUGUAAAGCUCUUUUGUCCGGAACGAAACGGGUGCGGCUAAUACUCGCGCCUACUGACGGUACCGGAAGAAUAAGCACCGGCUAACUACGUGCCAGCAGCCGCGGUAAUACGUAGGGUGCGAGCGUUAAUCGGAAUUACUGGGCGUAAAGCGUGCGCAGGCGGUUUUGUAAGCCAGAUGUGAAAUCCCCGGGCUUAACCUGGGAAUGGCAUUUGGGACUGCAAGGCUGGAGUGCGGCAGANGAGAUUGGAAUUCCUGGUGUAGCAGUGAAAAUGCGUAGAUAUCAGGAGGAAUACCGAUGGCGAAGGCAGGUCUCUGGGCUGACACUGACGCUCAUGCACGAAAGCGUGGGGAGCAAACAGGAUUAGAUACCCUGGUAGUCCACGCCCUAAACGAUGUCNACUGGUUGUUGGGGGUUUGACACUCUCAGUACCGAAGCUAACGCGUGAAGUCGACCGCCUGGGGAGUACGGCCGCAAGGUUAAAAC
rnacentral:rRNA from 1 species